GUGCCAGCCGCCGCGGUAAUACAGAGGGUGCAAGCGUUAAUCGGAAUUACUGGGCGUAAAGCGUGCGUAGGUGGUUUGUUAAGUCAGGUGUGAAAUCCUCGGGCUCAACCCGGGAACUGCGCUUGAUACUGACAGACUCGAGUGUGGUAGAGGAUAGUGGAAUUCCCGGUGUAGCGGUGAAAUGCGUAGAUAUCGGGAGGAACAUCAGUGGCGAAGGCGGCUAUCUGGACCAACACUGACACUGAGGUACGAAAGCGUGGGUAGCAAACAGGAUUAGAAACCCGCGUAGUCC
rnacentral:rRNA from 1 species